UAUACAACCUACAUACCUCG
rnacentral:misc_RNA from 1 species